rnacentral:lncRNA from 1 species
GUUUCGCCCUUCCCCAUCAGCCUGUGAAGCUCCCAAAAACGUUCGGCCAACGGCACCAGUCCCAUCUAAUGAGCCAGAAGGAAGUAGGCGCCGCAAAGCCCCCUGCGAAAUGUAGUUUCCAGGAAGACUUCUGGGAAACAGAGUCCGAGGCAGGCGACAGAGCGCUCUUGCAGCCAAAUAGAGCCGGGCUAGGGGCGCGUCACGUAACCUGUGCAGCCAACUGUUGCGAGACGUGGCCUUUGCCUGAGCUGCUGUUAGGAGAGGUGCUCAGGUCUGGGGAGUAGCUCCUGCCAUCGCCUGGACUCGACUUCUGGACUGGCCUCCAAAAGUCGACACAGUCCCUGCGUCUUCCC